rnacentral:rRNA from 1 species
AACGAACGCUGGCGGCGUGGAUAAGACAUGCAGGUCGAACGGGACAAGUAGCAAUAUUUGUCUAGUGGCGAACGGGUGCGUAACACGUGGGCAACAUGCCUGGAAGAGCGGGAUAGCCCGGGGAAACUCGGAUUAAUACCGCAUGUGACAACGGGGCGGAUUCGCCCUGUUUUCAAAGGUGGGGACCGCAAGGCCUGCGGCUUCCAGAUUGGCCCGCGUCCUAUCAGCUAGUUGGCGGGGUAACGGCCCACCAAGGCGACGACGGGUAGCUGGUCUGAGAGGACGACCAGCCACACUGGAACUGAGACACGGUCCAGACACCUACGGGUGGCAGCAGUCGAGAAUCUUUCACAAUGGGGGAAACCCUGAUGGAGCGACGCCGCGUGGAGGAUGACGGUCUUCGGAUUGUAAACUCCUGUCAUGAAAGAACAAGCGGAGCGGGUGAACAGCCCGCCGAGUUGAUAGUAUUUCAAGAGGAGGGGACGGCUAACUUCGUGCCAGCAGCCGCAGUAA